rnacentral:misc_RNA from 1 species
CGCACAUUGCGCCCUUUGGCAUUCCGAAGGGCAUGCCCGUUCGAGCGUCAUUAAAUCCACUCAAGCCUGGCUUGGUAUUGGGCGCCGGGGACCCCCCGCGCCUCCAUUUCGCCGGCUGGCCGUCGUUUGACUUAGCGUUGUGACACAUGUCGCUGACGACGAAGACGGACCGCGCCGUGAGAAUUUCCUUGCGUGUCGAUCGACAUGCAGUAAAGGUUGACCUCGGAUCGGGUAGGAAUACCCGCUGAACUUAA